rnacentral:tRNA from 1 species
GGGCAUGUAGCUCAGAUGGUAGAGCGCUCGCUUAGCAUUCGAGAGGCACCGGGAUCGAUAUUCCGCUUGUCCA